rnacentral:lncRNA from 1 species
CCCUUCUGCCAUGUGAGGACACACAGAAGUCACCAUCUAUAAGAAACAGGCUCCCACCAGACACUGAGUCUGCUGGAGCCUUGAUCUUGAAUUUCCCAACCUCCAGAACUGUGAGCAAUGAAUUUCUGUUGUUUAUAAAUUACCCAGUCUAAGAUGUUUUGCUGUAGCAGCCUGAACAGACUAAGGCACCCUAAAAGGAAAAGAAACAGAGUAUUUGUGGACAGUCCCUAAAGACAGUCACAGAAAGUGAGAGCCUCUUUCAGAUUCAUUAGGUGUUCAAGAUGCCCAAGUCUCUUAGGAAUGUUCUUUCCUGGGAGGAAGGGGUGUUUUUGAAACCCAGAAAUGUAUUCUCUGCUUUUACUAACACAUCUGUUUCCUGAGUCAGUAGAUGUUCUGCAGUCUAACUGCCUAAAUAGGGAACAAAAAAUCCAAGGAGAAAACUCGUGCAGCCUUAGAUUCCUGGAUUUUGAGUAUCAUGUAAUCUUAGACUGGAAUCUGAGAAAAUGGGACCUGAGAAUCUUGCAACCACAGAUUUCAAACCUGAAAGGUCUUUGAAUCUAAUUUCACUUUCUAUGCAGUAACUGUCUUAAUAAUCUUCCUUGCAGGUGGCCACCAGACUUUCUCUGCUUGUAUCCUCCCAGGACCACAGAACUCAUCGCAUCCCAAGGCAGCCUAUUCCAUCAUGGAUGAGCUCAAAGUGUUUGAAAGUUCUGCUUUAUCAAAACUCUUGAUGGCCUGCUUCCCAUCCUCCAUCCUGGAAGACUGAUCUGAAACCCCAGGAGGAGGUCCUCUGAGCCCUGAGGCAGAGAUCUCUCACCUGGAAGAUGGGUCUAAUGACUGCGCCCCACACACACCAGAGAGGACUGCAGAUAGUGCGGGAUGAGAGGAAGAUCUCUGGCCCUGGAGACAGCAUCAUCAAGCGAAAACGUAUGAGGAAGAAAAUAGCAGAUGAGAAGAAUCAACCAAAUUCCGGAAGCUGGAAGGCAGAUGCAAGAAGGCCCUUGAAUGAUGCCAGCACCUUGAUAUUGGACUUUCCAGCCUCCAGAACCAUGAGCCAAUACAUUUCUGUUCCAUAAAAAUUACCCAGUUCCAGGUAUUCUGCUAUAGCAGCACAAAAUGGACUAAAACAAUGUUGGCACAAGACUCAGUGCUGGGCCUGGCAUGCAACAGGUCCUUGGAGUGGCGUGCUGUGUGGAUAAUGAAUAUUGGGGAAGGCAUCUCUCUCCAGCCCCUCUCAAGCUUUCUGUAGUCACUGGUCCACUCUGUAUUGCUAUGAAGAAGCUCAAGACCAGCCUGUAUCACUCGGGGUCCUGGCAGGAACCAGGUGCCACACUCAAACUGAGUAAUUGAAGAGGGUUUAAUAUGGGAGUUAUUUACAUAGGUGUGGGCUGGUGUAGCUGCCCAUAUGCCCUCAAAAUCACCUCUACAUGGCAAUAGCUACUUACUGCUAACAGAGUCUCUCUCUCAUUGCUGCAAAUAUUUUCUAGCCAUGCAAGAAACUCAGCCGGUCAUGUUGAACAAACUAAGAGUGCCAGGAAGUUAAUGUCCUGGAAGCAUUGCCAGAGGGGAGGGGGCAGUUAGAUUCCCCAGCUUCCUCGCUCCUCUGCUGGGUUAAGCCUGCAACAUAUUCAUCAUCUCCCAGAGUGCUGCCCAGGGAUAGAGCUCCAGGUGCUCAGUGUGGUGACCUGCUCAUGUCAGCUUCUUCCCCUUUCCUGUCUUGUUUCGCACCCACAUCCUUCCCAUGUUUCCUCUUCCCAAAUAAACUACUUGCAUUGAAAUCUUUGUCUCAGGCUCUGCUUCUGGGGAAACCUGAACCUAGCGAGGAGAGUUUAAGGAAAGCAACAACGGGUGGCGUGGGACUCUGGUAACAAAGGGAACCACUGCCUUUCAAGAAAAC